UACAUGGGGUGCAAACGUUGCUCGGAAUUAUUGGGCGUAAAGCGCGCGCAGGCGGUUUCUUAAGUCUGAUGUGAAAGCCCACGGCUCAACCGUGGAGGGUCAUUGGAAACUGGGGAGCUUGAGUGCAGAAGAGAAAAGCGGAAUUCCACGUGUAGCGGUGAAAUGCGUAGAGAUGUGGAGGAACACCGGUGGCGAAGGCGGCAUCCUGGACCGGCAUUGACGCUGAGGCGCGAAAGCGUGGGGAGCGAACAGG
rnacentral:rRNA from 1 species